UUGGGGUCCCUGUGUUUAGUCAAAUGGUUGGGUGCAAGCAUCCAUAUCUGUAUUGGUCAGGCUCUGGUAGAGCCUCUCAGGGGAUAGCUGUUAUUGUUUAAAUUUUGACCCACCUUCCAUGGUGUACACAUGGUCUCUGGAGAGCGUUCAUGAGCUUGGAGCUACCUGUGCUGCCCCUGGGAUGAAUCCUUUCACUGACCCUCAAACUAGGACCUUUCCUCUGUAGUGAUAGUUUUCCUCCCUCUCUUUUUGAGACAGUUUAAAAUGCCAGGCCAGGCCUGGAUAAACUGCUUUCUGGCUCAGGAGCACUGAUUCUAAAUCUAGCCCCACCACUGCUGAGAAGCACUUAAAGAAAUCCUUUGUCAUCUGGGAAUAUAAAUGAAAAGGACUCUGAGAUUCAUUUUACACCCAUCAAAAUGACUAAACUCAAUAGACACCACAUACUGGAGAGGAAGUAGAGCAAGAAGAAGCUUCCUCCAUUGCAGGUAAUAUGGCAUGCGUUCAAGUUGAGAGGUAACCCUAUAAUUCUAUGCAAGUAUAAGAAUGCCUAAGUGAAGAGAGAAAUACAGAUGUGCUAUUAUGAAAUUUGGGGUUAAAUGUAAGUCUUUUCUCAAUAGUAGUUUAAAUUCCUUAAAAAUUGAACACAUAAUUUAAAUUGUUUCCUUGCAAAACUCAUUUAGCUAAUGUCUCAUUAAGGCUCUUUAUUUUAAGGGGCCAAUCUUAAAUUAUAGAAAACAAUGUUCCAUACUGAACUGAGUCAAAUAAGCAUGAUUAUAAUAAUUAACAUAUACAGCUCUUUU
rnacentral:sRNA from 1 species